rnacentral:miRNA from 1 species
UGCCCACCAGGGUUCGAUCCA